UAUGCCCCGCCGUAACCAGGCAAUCAAAUAACCAAUUGCCCGCCAAAUAACUACGAGUAAAAACUUAAAAUUUAAAAGACUUGACGGUACUUCACAACGACCUAGAGGAGCCUGUCUAAUAACCGAUAAUCCACGAUUAACCCCACCCGCUUUUGCCCAACAGUCUAUAUACCGCCGUCGCCAGCUUACCUUGUGAAAGAAGCAAAGCAAGCCAAAUAGUAUCACACUAACACGACAGGUCGAGGUGUAACAAAUAAGCAGGUCAAAGAUGGGCUACAUUUCCUAAAUCAGGAAAAACGAAUAAAGUAUGAAACAACAACCUGAAGGCGGAUUUAGCAGUAAGAUAAGGAUAGAACCCCUACCUGAAACACGCAAUGAAGUGCGUACACACCGCCCGUCAUCCCUGUAAAACAACAUAAAUAUACAUAAACAAAUACACAGCCCCAAAGCAGGGCAAGUC
rnacentral:rRNA from 1 species